GGCCGAAGCGCAGCGCGGGCCGUUCCCCGGGGAGCCCCGGAGCAGCCGGCGCGGGGCCCGGGCCGAGCGGCCGCAGCUCGGCGGGGCCGGCCCGGCGGAAGGCGGCCCUCACCCCCGGGAACCGACGCUCCGCCUCGCCCCGCCCACAACCGUCGUCCUGCGCGCCUAUUGGUCAAUUUUCCGAAGGGGGCGUGGCGAGAAGGGUACGUCACGGAAACGACGCUCUCUGAUUGGUGGCGCGGGCGGCGGGCGGCCCCGCCCCCGCGGUCCCACGCGCGGCCGGGCCCGCCCGGUGGGUACAUUGUGCGCGGGGCCGGGGCCGCGCCGGGGGUGCUGCAGCCCUUCAUCCCUGCAUCCCUGCAUCCCUGCAUCUCUGCAUCCAUCCCUGCAUCCCUCCAUCCCUGCAUCCCUGACACCUGGCGCUGGGGGCUUCGCGGCUCACGGAGAUUUCGGCUCGGCCAGGCGACGGCGAGAGCUCUGCCACCAUGUCUGUCAGCGUCCACGAGAACCGUAAAUCCCGCACCAGCACCGGCUCCAUGAACAUCUUGCUUUUCCACAAGGCCUCCCACCCGGACUGCGUCUUGUCCCACCUGAACACCCUGCGGAAGCACUGCAUGUUCACUGAUGUCACCCUCUGGGCAGGGAACAGGUCCUUCCCGUGCCAUCGAGCAGUGCUGGCUGCCUCCAGCAGGUACUUUGAGGCCAUGUUCAGCAACGGCCUCCGGGAGAGCCUGGAUGAUGCUGUGAACUUCCAUGACAGCCUCCACCCCGAGGUGCUGGAGCUGCUGUUGGAUUUCGCUUACUCCUCUCGGAUCAUUAUCAAUGAGGAGAAUGCCGAGUCCCUCCUGGAGGCUGGGGACAUGCUGCAGUUCCAUGACGUCCGAGAUGCAGCGGCUGAGUUCCUGGAGAAGAACCUGUACCCUUCCAACUGCCUGGGCAUGAUGCUGCUCUCAGAUGCUCAUCAGUGCCGGCGGCUCUAUGAGCUGUCCUGGAGGAUGUGCCUGGUCAACUUUGAGACCGUUCACAAGAGUGAGGACUUCAACAACCUUUCCAAGGACACUUUGCUGGACCUCAUCUCCAGUGAUGAGCUGGAAAUCGAGGAUGAGGAAAAGGUCUUUAAGGCUGUCAUGCAGUGGGUGAAAUACGACCUGGAUGAGCGGAAGGCUUAUCUCCCAGAACUUCUGAGGAAUGUUCGUCUGGCUUUGCUUCCUUCCGAAUGCCUCAAGGAAGCCUUGGCUUGCGAGGACUUGAUCAUGGUGGAUGAGAGGAACAAGCUUGUCCUGGAUGAAGCUAUUCAGUGCAAGAAGAAGAUCCUCCAGAAUGAUGGGGUGGUCACCAGCCUCUGUGCCAGGCCUCGCAAAGCUGGGCACACCUUGCUGAUCCUGGGGGGACAGACCUUCAUGUGUGAUAAGAUCUACCAAGUGGAUCAGAAAGCAAAGGAAAUUAUUCCCAAAGCAGACCUGCCGAGUCCACGGAAGGAGUUUAGUGCAUGUGCCAUUGGCUGCAAAGUGUACAUCACUGGAGGCAGAGGCUCAGAGAACGGGGUCUCCAAAGAUGUUUGGGUUUAUGACACCGUGCAUGAGGAAUGGUCCAAAGCCGCCCCAAUGUUAAUUGCUCGGUUUGGGCACGGCUCAGCCGAGUUGGAAAACUGCCUGUACGUGGUUGGUGGACACACUGCAGUAGCUGGAGUCUUCCCGGCCUCUCCUUCUGUUUCCUUGAAGCAAGUAGAGAAGUAUGACCCCAUAUCCAACAAGUGGAUGAUGGUGGCUCCAUUGAGAGAUGGAGUGAGCAACGCUGCGGUGGUGAGCGCCAGGCUCAAGCUCUUUGUCUUCGGUGGGACCAGCAUCCAUCGAGACAUGGUGUCCAAAGUCCAGUGCUACGAUCCAGCUGAGAACCGAUGGAUGAUCAAAGCCGAGUGCCCGCAGCCCUGGCGCUACACGGCGGCCGCUGUCCUGGGCAGCCAGAUUUUUAUCAUGGGAGGAGACACAGAGUUCACGGCAGCCUCCGCCUACCGCUUCGACUGCGAGACGGACCAGUGGACGCGCAUCGGGGACAUGACGGCCAAGCGCAUGUCCUGCCACGCCCUGGCCUCGGGGAAUAAACUCUAUGUGGUCGGAGGUUACUUUGGCACUCAGAGGUGCAAAACGCUGGACUGCUAUGACCCUAUGUCAGACACGUGGAACUGUAUCACCACAGUGCCUUACUCGCUCAUCCCCACAGCUUUUGUCAGCACCUGGAAGCACUUGCCCUCGUGAGGAGGAGCAGGGCUUGGGGGCUUGUUUCCAGGAGGUCAAUGAAGAUGAUCCUCCCAGUAUCUUAAGAGAUACAUCUACAUAGAUGGUUGGGGCUCCUCUCCCUCUGCUCCAGGGUACUUGGAUGUGCCAGCGUCACCCUUCUGUGGGUGGGUAAGCAGAUGUGUCCACACCUGCUCUCACCAUGGAAUACACCCUGUUCCCAUGCAGAUGCCAGAGUCACAUCCAUGUCCCCUCUCUUGCGGCUGGAGCCGACACCGUGACCGAGAGCCUCCUGUCCUCCCUCACGGGACUCCGAGGCAACUUCCACAUCCCUUCCUGACACCAGGAGUGGGAGGCACAGCUGGGACCCCACUGCAAACACAUGCCAGGGGUCACCAAGGGCUACCCAGCCCCACCACUGGUCACUGGCCACCAUGCAGGGAUGACAAGGAGCUGAGAGCACUGCCUUGCCAGGCUGGGCACACGGAUGGCUUGUGGACUCCUCUGGACCAACAGGGCUGGGGAGAUGGAGGCUGCAUCCCUCAGCAAACAUGGCUGGAUAGCCCUUUUUGUUACUCAGGGGGGUUAAGAGAUAUUAAUAUGUUUUUCUCUAAGGCGGUGAACUUGCCAUUGGCAGUGCUUGCUGCUUGGGUGACUUGGAAGUGUUUGUUAAAGGGAACAAGGUUAGAGCACCUGGCUCUCCCCAUCCUCUGGCCAUUUCAUGGAAGCAAUGGCUAUUCAAAUAUUAAAGCAUAGGAGGUUGGGAUGGCUGCCAGCAGCACCAGGUACCAUGAUAAAACAGGGCAAUUGCCUUUUGGUUUGUACUUAGAGCCUUUUAAGCUUUUUCCCCCCGUUUUGUUGCUGCUGUGGUUUGGUCAGAGCUCAGGUAGCUCCCCACACACAGCUGCUGGGAAGAGCACAGGGCUCUGUUUGUGUGCCAAGGCAGCACCACUGCAGAGAUACUCCCCAGAUAAAGCCCACUGCAUGCUCAGAGCCAGUCUGCUGAGCUUCCCUGCGCGUGGGUGAGGCUCUCAUUAGCAAAGGAGCAGAAAAAGGGGUGCAGUGGGGAACACUCUUGCCUUGGGAAGGGGCACCUUGGCUCCAGCAAAGCCUCGGAGGGACAGCAAGAGGAUUAAGGUAGCAUUGCAAGGUGGGCUGGGGCGGGAUCCCCCUACUUCCUGCUGCACCUAACAUCCUGGCUUCCCCUUGGGGAGAUGUGAGCAUUUCUGACUGCAUGCUGCCUGCCAGCAGGUGGGCUGAGGCUGCCCCAGGUUACCCACACACACUGGCUGCCAACUGUGUUUGGGAUUAUGCAUCCAAGAGCUGUCAGCCCGAGCCAUUCCUCAUUUUGCUGGGGAGGAAGGCACGUGGAUUUUGGCUGUCAGUACGGGGAUGCAGCUCUGACUGGCCUCUCUGGGGCUGGCUGCUGCCGAGCACUGGUCCUGCACUGCCCCAGCAUCCUGCUUCCCUGCACAGCAGAUCUGCAGAAUCUCCAGGCCCGCCUCUUGCCCCUGGAUGAGGCUGGGCUGUAGCCUGGCCAGCUGAAUGAUGCAAUGCCAUGAAAAGCCUUGACACAGCUUCAAACAGCAAAGGUCUUUUUGGAGCAGCAAGUGCCCGUGGCUGCCGGGAAAGGCACACGUUCUGCACAGCCGGUCUGCGAUGCGCUGGAUGACGUUUAUUUACAUCUUCUAGGUUUUUUUUGGGUUUUUUUUUUUCCCUUCAGCUGCUUGUGAACUUCAAUAAAAAUGAUGAU